rnacentral:rRNA from 1 species
UACGUAGGGUGCAAGCGUUGUCCGGAAUUAUUGGGCGUAAAGAGCUCGUAGGCGGUUUGUCGCGUCGGCUGUGAAAACCUGGGGCUCAACCCCGGGCCUGCAGCCGAUACGGGCAGACUAGAGUUCGGCAGGGGAGACUGGAAUUCCUGGUGUAGCGGUGAAAUGCGCAGAUAUCAGGAGGAACACCGGUGGUGCAAACGGCUUUCUGGACCGUAACUGACGCUGAGGAGCGAAAGCGUGGGGAGCGAACAGG